GAUGAAGAACGUAGUGAAAUGCGAUAAUAAAUGUGAAUUGCAGAAUUCAGUGAAUCAUCGAGUCUUUGAACGCACAUUGCGCCCCCUGGUAUUCCGGGGGGCAUGCCUGUCCGAGCGUCAUUGCUGCCCUCAAGCACGGCUUGUGUGUUGGGCUUCCGUCCCUGGCAACGGGGACGGGCCCAAAAGGCAGUGGCGGCACCAUGUCUGGUCCUCGAGCGUAUGGGGCUUUGUCACCCGCUCCCGUAGGUCCAGCUGGCAGCUAGCCUCGCAACCAAUCUUUUUAACCAGGUUGACCUCGGAUCAGGUAGGGAUACCCGCUGAACUUAAGCAUAUCAAUAAGCGGAGGA
rnacentral:misc_RNA from 1 species